rnacentral:misc_RNA from 1 species
GAUGAAGAACGCAGCGAAAUGCGAUAAGUAGUGUGAAUUGCAGAAUUCAGUGAAUCAUCGAAUCUUUGAACGCACAUUGCGCCCCUUGGUAUUCCAUGGGGCAUGCCUGUUCGAGCGUCAUUUGUACCUUCAAGCUCUGCUUGGUGUUGGGUGUUUGUCUCGCCUCUGCGUGUAGACUCGCCUCAAAACAAUUGGCAGCCGGCGUAUUGAUUUCGGAGCGAGUACAUCUCGCGCUUUGCACUCAUAACGACGACGUCCAAAAGUACAUUUUUACACUCUUGACCUCGGAUCAGGUAGGGAUACCCGCUGAACUUAAGCAUAUCAAUAAGCGGAGGA